rnacentral:rRNA from 1 species
UCCAGAGUUUGAUCAUGGCUCAGAUUGAACGCUGGCGGCAGGCCUAACACAUGCAAGUCGAGCGGAAACGAGUUAACUGAACCUUCGGGGGACGUUAACGGCGUCGAGCGGCGGACGGGUGAGUAAUGCCUAGGAAAUUGCCCUGAUGUGGGGGAUAACCAUUGGAAACGAUGGCUAAUACCGCAUGAUGCCUACGGGCCAAAGAGGGGGACCUUCGGGCCUCUCGCGUCAGGAUAUGCCUAGGUGGGAUUAGCUAGUUGGUGAGGUAAGGGCUCACCAAGGCGACGAUCCCUAGCUGGUCUGAGAGGAUGAUCAGCCACACUGGAACUGAGACACGGUCCAGACUCCUACGGGAGGCAGCAGUGGGGAAUAUUGCACAAUGGGCGCAAGCCUGAUGCAGCCAUGCCGCGUGUGUGAAGAAGGCCUUCGGGUUGUAAAGCACUUUCAGUCGCACAUCUGACUUGAGGAAGGUUGUUGCGUUAAUAGCGUCAUGAUUUGACGUUAGCGACAGAAGAAGCACCGGCUAACUCCGUGCCAGCAGCCGCGGUAAUACGGAGGGUGCGAGCGUUAAUCGGAAUUACUGGGCGUAAAGCGCAUGCAGGUGGUUUGUUAAGUCAGAUGUGAAAGCCCGGGGCUCAACCUCGGAAUAGCAUUUGAAACUGGCAGACUAGAGUACUGUAGAGGGGGGUAGAAUUUCAGGUGUAGCGGUGAAAUGCGUAGAGAUCUGAAGGAAUACCGGUGGCGAAGGCGGCCCCCUGGACAGAUACUGACACUCAGAUGCGAAAGCGUGGGGAGCAAACAGGAUUAGAUACCCUGGUAGUCCACGCCGUAAACGAUGUCUACUUGGAGGUUGUGGCCUUGAGCCGUGGCUUUCGGAGCUAACGCGUUAAGUAGACCGCCUGGGGAGUACGGUCGCAAGAUUAAAACUCAAAUGAAUUGACGGGGGCCCGCACAAGCGGUGGAGCAUGUGGUUUAAUUCGAUGCAACGCGAAGAACCUUACCUACUCUUGACAUCCAGAGAACUUUCCAGAGAUGGAUUGGUGCCUUCGGGAACUCUGAGACAGGUGCUGCAUGGCUGUCGUCAGCUCGUGUUGUGAAAUGUUGGGUUAAGUCCCGCAACGAGCGCAACCCUUAUCCUUGUUUGCCAGCGAGUAAUGUCGGGAACUCCAGGGAGACUGCCGGUGAUAAACCGGAGGAAGGUGGGGACGACGUCAAGUCAUCAUGGCCCUUACGAGUAGGGCUACACACGUGCUACAAUGGCGCAUACAGAGGGCGGCCAACUUGCGAAAGUGAGCGAAUCCCAAAAAGUGCGUCGUAGUCCGGAUUGGAGUCUGCAACUCGACUCCAUGAAGUCGGAAUCGCUAGUAAUCGUGGAUCAGAAUGCCACGGUGAAUACGUUCCCGGGCCUUGUACACACCGCCCGUCACACCAUGGGAGUGGGCUGCAAAAGAAGUAGGUAGUUUAACCUUCGGGGGGACGCUUACCACUUUGUGGUUCAUGACUGGGGUGAAGUCGUAACAAGGUAAC